rnacentral:rRNA from 1 species
CCUACGGGAGGCAGCAGUGAGGAAUAUUGGUCAAUGGGCGCGAGCCUGAACCAGCCAAGUCGCGUGAGGGAUGAAGGUUCUAUGGAUCGUAAACCUCUUUUAUAAGGGAAUAAAGUGUGGGACGUGUCCUAUUUUGUAUGUACCUUAUGAAUAAGGAUCGGCUAACUCCGUGCCAGCAGCCGCGGUAAUACGGUGGAUCCGAGCGUUAUCCGGAAUGAUUGGGUUUAAAGGGUGCGUAGGCGGCCUUUUAAGUCAGCGGUGAAAGUCUGUGGCUCAACCAUAGAAUUGCCGUUGAUACUUGGGGGCUUGAGUUAGUUUGAGGCAGGCGGAAUGCGAGGUGUAGCGGUGAAAUGCUUAGAUAUAACGCAGAACCCCGAUUGCGAAGGCAGCCUGCCAAGCCAUGACUGACGCUGAUGCACGAAAGCGUGGGGAUCAAACAGGAUUAGAUACCCGAGUAGUC